CCGGGUAUAGUGAAAAUGGUAUCACCGCUGCUCGCAAGCAGUCCUUCGGGGUUCGAAUCCUCGUGCCCGCA